rnacentral:lncRNA from 1 species
UUGGGGGUCCCGCUCCCCUCGGGGGGCGCUCAUUGUGAGCCUCGCCGCCCUCUCGCCUUGGGAAUCUUUUCCCGGAGCCUGAUUUCUCCUUUUUUGGGGGGGAGGGGGGGUGGUUUUAUUUUUUUCUUUCCCAUUUUUUCCUCUUCCUCCUCCGAGGAGCUGGGACUGGCUGGGCGGGAGCGGAAGCCCAAGAACCCAAGAGUCCGGGGGUCUCCGGCCCAUGGCGGGAGUCUAAGGACCGGUCGGGAGCGGAGCGCACCUCCUCGAACGCAAGUGCGAUAAGGAAAGAGAGAAAGGGCGAGAGGGAGAGACAGAAAUUGACAGAGACAGAGACAACGAGAGAGAGAGCAAUUGGUUGCCGAACUGUACUUUCCACGCGCUCCGUACAGUGCUCUGCGCCCAGUAAGUGCUCCAUAAAUGCAACUGAACGAGAGAGAGAUGAGCAUGAGAGAGAGAUUAGCGUGAGAGAGAGAAAAGCAUGGGCCUGGGCGUCUAAGGACGUGGGUUCGAAUCCCGGCUCCACCAUAUGCCUGCAGUGUGACCUUGCGCAAGUCACCUCACCUGUCUGGGCCUCAGUCACCUCAUCUGUAAAAUGGGGAUAAGAGUGUGAGCCGCAUGUGGGACGGGGACUGCGUCCAACCUGAUUAACUUGCAUCUACCCCAUCACUUAGAACGGUGCUCGGCACAUAGUAAGCGCUUAACAAGUACCAUAAUUAUCUUUAGAGAGUGAGUUGGGGGGAGAGGUGGGGAGAGAAAGAGAGAGAGGGUAGUUAGUGGCUGGGAUUUUUUCAGCCACACACAUAUGGGACAGAGACUGUGUCCAGCCAGAUGAUCUUGUAUCUACCCUGGCACUUGGCACAGUGCUUGGAACAUAGUAAGCACAUACCGCAAUUAUUAUUACUGGUGUCUGCAAGUCGGGAAGGCGAGAUCAAAGGGAAAAGGAAGAUGUUUAUCUUUGAUAGAAGAGACGUGGCCAGCUCUUAGCUGGCUCAUUCCCCACUGGUCACCUUCCCGUUCUGGGGGUGGGAAGGGGGGACGCGAGCUGGAUCAUCCCAGUGUUGCUUAGGAAUGGAAAUCUG